rnacentral:lncRNA from 1 species
CUGCACAGUCAACUCUUAGGUUUCCUUGGAAAUUUUUCAACAAAUCAAAAUUUUGUUGGAAACAUCUACACAGCUUUCAUAAUUCAAGUUACUUGGGCUUUUGAAAUGCCUUGGAUUUGACAGACUUCUGCGAGCUCAGAGUUACUGAUUAGAAUCAUCAAACUAUAGAUUGGAAAGGAUGCUUGGAGGUCAUCUGGUCCAACCUCAUGCUGAAAGCAGACCUGACUUCCCAAUUAGAUGAUGUUGUCCACGGCCUUGUUUGGUGAGCUGUGUCUCUCUCUGGGAGCAGUGAUGCUGCAGUCUCCUUCUGCUUUCCUGUGCUCAACUGCACCCCAUGAGAAGAAUUGUCUUCCUUCUUUCAAAAGACAGUGCCCUAACCGGCAGAGGAGCUGUGACACUGCAGAGUUAAGCUGACUGAAAUGGGUGAGUUAUUUUUGCUGAAGCCUAUAGCUUCUCAAAAGCCUGAGCUAACUGAAGCAGUAGUUAGACAACUGGAGAAGUAACUGGGUCGGGAGUUAUAUUUGUGGACAACAGCAGGGGCACGUUACUCAUGUGAAUAAUUUAUCUGACAAAGACAUGUAGUUUGAAUCAUUUUCUUAAAACAAUGGACUGUAAAUAUUGCAGUCUGCUGAAUUAUUUGAGGGAUGAGUCAAUGCGACUUAAGAUCCAACAACUUUUUGAAUUAUUGAAUUCCUUACUCCCAGACACUUAUUUGAACAGCACCAGCUGCUAAAUGAGUAGGUUCACACUCACUUGAACUGGAAGUUGCCUCUGCAAAGUGGGUUUGAGAACUGGCUCAAGCAUGGUUGACAGAAAUCUGCUCCUUCAAGGAUCAUGGGCUACGUGGCUGCUGUUGCAGGCAGUGCCUCACCAAGUCUUACCUGUUGCAGUAAAACUUGUUUUAAAGAAUGAGGACUUGUGAUAAAACCUUGCCUUUUGCUCUAGGUAGCUAAGUGACUCUUGGAUUGGUCUUUGUAUGACACUAAAGCUCAGGUAUGCACAGUAACUUUUGCUCACAUGAACAUUUCUGCUCACAGUGAACUUCUGUAAACAGCACAACAGUUAGUCUUCGUAAGGCAUCAUUCUGAAUUUAGCUUAGCACCCUUGAAAACUUUCAAACCCUGUGUUUGUUU